UUGGUACUUGUACCGACUGGAUGAGCAGCGAACGGGUGAGUAACGCGUGGGGAAUCUGCCUUUGAGCGGGGGACAACAUUUGGAAACGAAUGCUAAUACCGCAUAAAAACUUUAAACACAAGUUUUAAGUUUGAAAGAUGCAAUUGCAUCACUCAAAGAUGAUCCCGCGUUGUAUUAGCUAGUUGGUGAGGUAAAGGCUCACCAAGGCGAUGAUACAUAGCCGACCUGAGAGGGUGAUCGGCCACAUUGGGACUGAGACACGGCCCAAACUCCUACGGGAGGCAGCAGUAGGGAAUCUUCGGCAAUGGACGAAAGUCUGACCGAGCAACGCCGCGUGAGUGAAGAAGGUUUUCGGAUCGUAAAACUCUGUUGGUAGAGAAGAACGUUGGUGAGAGUGGAAAGCUCAUCAAGUGACGGUAACUACCCAGAAAGGGACGGCUAACUACGUGCCAGCAGCCGCGGUAAUACGUAGGUCCCGAGCGUUGUCCGGAUUUAUUGGGCGUAAAGCGAGCGCAGGUGGUUUAUUAAGUCUGGUGUAAAAGGCAGUGGCUCAACCAUUGUAUGCAUUGGAAACUGGUAGACUUGAGUGCAGGAGAGGAGAGUGGAAUUCCAUGUGUAGCGGUGAAAUGCGUAGAUAUAUGGAGGAACACCGGUGGCGAAAGCGGCUCUCUGGCCUGUAACUGACACUGAGGCUCGAAAGCGUGGGGAGCAACAGGAUUAGAUACCUGGUAGU
rnacentral:rRNA from 1 species